rnacentral:rRNA from 1 species
ACGAGUUAGUCGGUCCUAAGUUCAAGGCGAAAGCCGAAAAUUUUCAAGUAAAAAAAUCAAAAUAUAUUUGCCAAUCAUGUCGAUUUUUUUAACACUUGAAUAAUUUUGAACGAAAGGGAAUACGGUUCCAAUUCCGUAACCUGUUGAGUAUCCGUUUGUUAUUAAAUAUGGGCCUCGUGCUCAUCCUGGCAACAGGAACGACCAUAAAGAAGCCGUCGAGAGAUAUCGGAAGAGUUUUCUUUUCUGUUUUAUAGCCGUACUACCAUGGAAGUCUUUCGCAGAGAGAUAUGGUAGAUGGGCUAGAAGAGCAUGACAUAUACUGUUGUGUCGAUAUUUUCUCCUCGGACCUUGAAAAUUUAUGGUGGGGAUACGCAAACUUCUCAACAGGCCGUACCAAUAUCCGCAGCUGGUCUCCAAGGUGAAG